rnacentral:SRP_RNA from 3 species
ACUUCGGACCCACGCGAUUACAACGCCCUAACUUUGUCAGGACGGAAGUAGCAGCAAUACGGGAUGCUUGUGAUAGGCGUGGUAUCCGGGUCUUU